rnacentral:rRNA from 1 species
AUUGAACGCUGGCGGCAGGCCUAACACAUGCAAGUCGAGCGGGUGAAUGGAGCUUUCUCCUGGAUUCAUCGGCGGACUGGUGAGUAAUGCCUAUGAAUCUGCCUUGUAGUGGCGGAUAACGUCCGGAAACGGGCGCUAAUACCGCAUACGUCCUGUGGGAGAAAGUGGGGGAUCUUCGGACCUCACGCUAUCAUAUGAGCCUAGGUCGGAUUAGCUAGUUGGUGGGGUAAAGGCCUACCAAGGCGACGAUCCGUAACUGGUCUUAGAGGAUGAUCAGUCACCCUGGAACUGAGACCAGGUCCAGACUCAUAAGGGCGGCAGCGAUGGGGAAUAUUGGAACAUGGGCGAACGUAUGCUCCAGACAUGCCGCGUGUGUGAAGAAGGUCUUCGGAUUGUCAAGAACUUUAAGUUGGGAGGAAGGGCAGUAAGUUAAUACCUUGCUGUUUUGACGUUAACAACAGAAUAAGCACCGGCUAACUUCGUG